rfam:Loxodonta africana unplaced genomic scaffold scaffold_264, whole genome shotgun sequence.
GUAGUCGUGGCCGAGUGGUUAAGGCGAUGGACUAGAAGUCCAUUGGGGAUUCUCCCUGCCGACUACG